CGAAUCUCCAGGCAAUCCGAUGAAAAUAGCCAGGGACUUCCACUCUGCCUAAAAGCUCUUGUCUGCAAAGAAGCUGGGGCGAAGCACGCAGAAUGCUAGGAAGUUGGAUCCUGCAGAAUCUUUAUGAUAUUCACAUUAAUCCGCAAAUGAAGAAUAAACAAACAGGGCGAUGUGGUCAGGAUUUCAAACAUGGAGCAAGAAUUUGGGACUGGCAUGGGAGCCCACUUUGAACAAAUGAAGAACAUGAUCUGGCUUCUCGUUUAAAAGGAAGACAGUUCAUGCUGCUGAGAAUAAACUCUAGGGGACAAAACAGAAGCAAGUGACUGGGCAAGAGACUACUGCAAUAAUUCAGGUUUCAGGACUUCCCUUACACACCACAUGAUCUAACACACUGUCGCGAGGAUCUUUUGAGGAACAGCCAGCUAGGUUAUGCCAGGCAAGAGUAAAAAUGACCCAAAAUUGCACCAUGGUUACGUCAGAAGUCUCAGACAACAGAAUAUCAUGCAGGCUACUAAACACAAGAGUUCUGAAUCUAUGAAGUAGCGAGGAGGCUUCCGGACUGCUCCCCCGCCCACCGGACAUCCUGGCUGAGCUCCCUCAUGGCACGUCU
ensembl:lncRNA novel transcript, antisense to CLEC16A